UACGUAGGAUGCAAGCGUUAUCCGGAUUUAUUGGGCGUAAAGGGGGCGUAGGCGGCCCUUCAAGUCGGAUGUAAAAUCUCCCGGCUCAACCGGGAGGGAUCAUUCGAUACUGUUGGACUAGAGUGCAGUAGAGGGAGGUGGAAUUCCCGGUGUAGUGGUGAAAUGCGUAGAUAUCGGGAGGAACACCAGUGGCGAAAGCGGCCUCCUGGGCUGUUACUGACGCUGAGGCCCGAAAGCGUGGGGAGCAAACAGGAUUAGAUACCCCAGUA
rnacentral:rRNA from 1 species